rfam:Asian citrus Psyllid, Diaphorina citri - Florida Strain, whole genome shotgun sequence.
GCCUAGUUAGCUUGGUUGGUAGCGCGUUUGCCUUGUAAGCUCUAGGCCGCGGGUUCGAUUCCCGCCCGGGGCG